GCAGAAGCACCUCACAGCUCAGUCACUGUGCGUGUGCCCGGCAGGCACAGGUCAGGCACCUCCACCCGGAUUUGAGAGGGAACACAGAGCAUCUCACUCAGAGGAAGAGCGUCCAGCAUGGGGCUCCCUGGCCUGCUCAGAGCUGUCAUAGCCUCUGUCUGCCUUGGAUCCAUCAUGGCCCAGAAAGUAACUCAGAAUCAGUCAGAAAUUUCUGUGCUGGAGAAGGAGGAUGUAACCUUGAAUUGUGCAUAUGAAGCUAAUAGUUAUACUUAUUAUUUAUUCUGGUACAAGCAACCACCAAGUAGGGAAAUGAUUUUCCUUAUUCAUCAGGAGUCUUACAAUGAGCUGAAUACAACAAAAGGUCAGUAUUUUUUGAACUUCCAGAAAGCAACGAGUUCCAUCAGCCCCACCAUCUCAGACUUACAGCUCGAGGACUCCGCCGUGUAUUUCUGUGCUCUGAGAGACCACAGUGAUGCCGCUGCCUGAGGGAGCCCCACAGAAACCUCAGCUGUUAACAUGUGGAGUCCCCCAGCUAUGAACAGCUUAGUGAGAUUCUCGGUAAGGACAGGAGAAGGUAGAGGGGUUAGAAGUGAAAACCUCACUGUAAGGAAAAUGCUAUCUUUGGCUCAGAGAGUAUAUCUUAAAGUGUCAUUCAGCAAAAAUACCUGUAUCUUCAAUUCUUUAUCUUGCAGAAGAUCAUUUGCCAAUUUUUUUUUAAAUUUUAAAAUAGUGACUUUAUUAAAGUAUGAAAUUUGACUUUAAAAAAUUCAAUAGAAUUUGAUGAAAUCUGCACCUGAGUUGUCAGAGUUUUAGGUUCACUGCACAAAUAUUUAUGCAUUGCUAAUUCUGGCCAUCAUUGUGGAUCUGAAAUAUCUCUGAAAGGACACUUCUUAGACCCUCCCUGUGCCCUGCCUCACCUGUGCCGUGAAUUACUUGGAAUGAUGUGCACAGAGUAACUGUUACCAAUCUUCACCCGAAAGAGAAAUGAAACCCUACAGUUUGCUCAGAACUAACCUCAUCACCUGGUCACAUUCCCUAUGUGUGAUUACAAAGUUAUGUAUGUGUAAGGUAGAAAAAAGAAUAUGCAAAGAAGAAAUGCUAAAAACAAAAUAACUCACCAAUUUUACUAGUCAAAAAAUAAACUCUAUUAGAGAUUCAUACCUUAUAGGAUAUUUCUAGUCUGAAUUUUUACCUGACAGUAUAUUGUGAAAUAAUUAUUUCACAACAUAUUUACAGGUCAACAUCAGACAUUCUAAUGGCAAUAUUCCAAUGUGUGAUUUUAUCAUACUUUUGGGCUAAUUCCAUUUUACUAGCUUUUCAGAUUGUUUUACUCACUGUAGUAAACAAUACUGGAAUAAACACAAAGGUAUUUGGUGGUUUUCUUGA